rnacentral:rRNA from 1 species
CCUACGGGAGGCUGCAGUGGGGGAUAUUGCACAAUGGGGGGAACCCUGAUGCAGCGACGCCGCGUGGGUGAAGAAGCGCCUCGGCGCGUAAAGCCCUGUCAGCAGGGGAGAAAAUGACGGUACCUGAAGAAGACGCCCCGGCUAACUACGUGCCAGCAGCCGGGGCAAAAAGUAGGGGGCAAGCGUUAUCCGGAUUUACUGGGUGUAAAGGGGGCGCAGACGGCGAUGCAAGCCAGGAGUGAAAGCCCGGGGCCCAACCCCGGGAGUGCUGUUGAAACUGGGUGGCUGGAGUGCAGGAGGGGCAGGCGGAAUGCCUGGUGUAGCGGUGAAAUGCGUAGAUAUCAGGAGGAACACCGGUGGCGAAGGCGGCCUGCUGGACUGCAACUGACGUUGAGGCCCGAAAGCGUGGGGAGCGAACAGGAUUAGAUACCCUGGUAGUC